rnacentral:rRNA from 1 species
CUCUCUCACACACCUGUGCACUAUGUGUAGCUUAGGGAUGAUUACAAUGUUGGAAACAAUAUUGAAAGCUCUAGCUAUGAUUUUUUAUACACCCAUAUACAAAAGUUAAAGAAUGGAUAAUGUUAUAGUGUGUAAUAGCACAAAUAUAUAUACAACUUUCAGCAACGGAUCUCUUGGCUCUCGCAUCGAUGAAGAACGCAGCGAAAUGCGAUAAGUAAUGUGAAUUGCAGAAUUCAGUGAAUCAUCGAAUCUUUGAACGCACCUUGCGCUCCUUGGUAUUCCGAGGAGCAUGCCUGUUUGAGUGUCAUGAAAUUCUCAACUACCUUUUUAACAUUUUAUGUGUUAAGGGUGAAGUUGGAGUUGGAGGAUAAUUGCUGGCGCAACUGUCUCUAAGGUUGCUUGUUGGCUCCUCUUGAAUAGAUGAGCUUUUCUAAUGGAUCAUAGCUCAGUAACACUAAUGUGAUAAUUAUCUACGUUAGAUGUGAAAGUGGCUCCUAUAGAAAAGAAUAUAAUAUGUCUUGGGG